GGAGAGAGAGAGAUAGAGAGGGAGAGAGAGAGAGAGAGAGAGAGAGGAGUUGGGCGACAUGGUCUGAGGAGAGGGAUUGAGAAUGGCGACAUUGAUUUCAUGAAGGGCGGUGAUGCCUUCCUUCUGUACUUAUUCCAUCCGUGGAUGUUUUCGUAUACUUUUGGAACUAUUUUGUUUGCUUUAUCCAAGUUUUCCGUAAAUAUUUUCUGAAAAUUGUUUUGUGGAAGAUUAUCUAACAAGCUUUCUUAUAAAGUUCUUCCGUGAAAACUUUCCGAUCUUUGUUUUAUGGAAGAUUAUUUCGUAAAGUUCGUCAUUUAUUGCAAUAACCUUCCGCAAGAAAUUUUUUCCGACCGUUUUGAUAUUUGGAUAGAAGCUCUUUCAUUCGUUGUGCGGGAUGAAAUUCACGGAAUUUUGUUCUUAUAUCCUUAUUCAAAUAGACCCGGCUUAUGCGGUGUAGUCUCUUCGACAUUUCUGGCUCAUAUUUGUUUAAGACAUAUUUUAAUGGGAGAUUGUAGCCGUUGAUUUCGUCGUGGCCGAUUUUGACCCCAACAUCAAC
rnacentral:lncRNA from 1 species